rnacentral:rRNA from 1 species
CACGUAGGGUGCGAGCGUUGUCCGGAAUUAUUGGGCGUAAAGAGCUCGUAGGCGGUUUGUCGCGUCUGCUGUGAAAACUCGGGGCUUAACCCCGGGCCUGCAGUGGGUACGGGCAGACUAGAGUGCGGUAGGGAGACUGGAAUUCCUGGUGUAGCGGUGAAAUGCGCAGAUAUCAGGAGGAACACCGGUGGCGAAGGCGGGUCUCUGGGCCGUAACUGACGCUGAGGAGCGAAAGCGUGGGGAGCGAACGGG